CUUCUGGCGGCGACCCCGCAGGAGCCGAGAGCCUGGCCACGCCUCCCCGCUGUGCCACCCGGGUGGUCGCUUGGCCUCUCGGUGCCGUCCCCCCUUGAACGCGCGGAUUGCGGGACUCAACCUGGCGCUGCUAGCGGCCGGCGUGGCGCCGAGGAGUGCGACCUCGGUCGCCGGGCCCGGCGGACAGCAGAGCCCUUCCCCUGGAGGGUGCCCCGACGCGGAGCGGCCACUGCGUCCCCCGCCCUGUCGGCCUCGACCCCCACGGAGUCGCGACCCCUGCAUCCCCUGCGGUCAGAUGGCCGGCCAGACGCGGGUGUCCUCACCCUGCGCGAGGAUGCGGGAGGCCUGGUGCCCCUGGACCUAGCGGUGCUUGGUGGGGACGCCGCACCCGGCUUUCCGGAAACGCAGGCAGGGCCCGCGCGGGGCGGGGGAACUCGGUUUCCCGGACGCCUUGGCGUCUGCCAGCAAGCGCGCACUUGUGAGUCCACGCAGGUGACAGGCCAGGGGUGUCCCGAGAGCCUCGUGGCAGAGGCCUUUCUCAACCGGUCGGCCGCACGGUGCCUUGGACUUGUGAUCUACCCCUGUCACCGUGUCCCCAGCCAGGUCCUGGCCUCCCCCAGAAGCAAGGCUCGGGCUAGACCUCAGGCGGCGGUGCCUUGCCAGCAGCGUUGUCGCCUGGUCCAAGCAGGCUGGGUAGUGGGGAGGGGAUCCCCAAAGCUGGCAUCCUUCCUGGGCUUGAUAGUGCACCCUUCCCACUUUUUCCGCCCUGAGGUCUGCACCUCGGGGCCUGUUUCCUCCCAGGAUCCAGCCAACAUGCCAGCUCCGCACACACGCUGGACACCGGCGGGAAGAUGCACGUCUACCGCCCUGGGGCUGCAGAGUCCUGGGCACCACACACGCUCCUUGUCCCUGCUGGCCCCUGACCUCCAAGGCCCCAGCGGCCCUCCUGCGCCUUGCUGUGCAAUUCCGCAAGCAGGCUGCGGUUUCCUGCCUACCAGGCCACACAAGCCUUCCCGCGCCCUUGCCCGCAGCGCCUCUCUACACUGUCCAUGUUCUCCUUUCUCUCUGGAGCCCACUCUGGUCGCCUCUGUCCUCUCCCUGCCCUCACAUACUGGCCUGCCUCUGGGCUAUCCCUUUACCCCCACCUUUUCAUGACUUUUCCCCAAAGCUGGACCCUGGGCCUCUUCUCCACCUAGCCCACCCUCUGUGACCUUAUUAGGUUGGCUGUGAAGGUCAUGCAGUGAGCAGCCAGGGCCUCUGUCCCCACCUCAGGUUCAUGUCCACUGGUCUCUGGACACCUGCACUGGAGAACAGCUUAGUGGGUGUGCAUCCACCACUGUUGCCCCUCAAGAUCAUGCAAAGUAGCCUGCCCACAGUAUUCACCCCUCAAAGGGCAGCUGCAUCCUUGGGAUGCUCCACUAAAACUUGCUAUGGUCCUUCAGAUGUCCUACCAGCUCCACCAUAGAGUCCACCAGGUCUCCUCCCCAGGCCCCUAGCUGCUGGUCCUCCUUGUUGUCUGCUUGUGACCAGCCGCUGGGGUCCAGUUUCCACAGUCAGAGGAACUUUUUAAUUACGGUAAAAAAUAUGUAACAUAAAACUUACCAUCUUAACUCUUCCUAAGUGUGGUUUGGUGGUGUUAAGUAUGUGCAGUGUGGUGCAGCCAUCCUCAAUGUCUGUCUCCAGAACUUUCUCAUUUUCCCAAACUGCAACUGUCCCCAUUUAGGCAACGAGGCCCCCUCCUCCUCUGGGCCCUGGUACCCAUCUAGUUCCUGUCUGUGGCCUGACACCUGAGGGCCUUGCAUGAGUGUACCAGGUGGGUGUG
rnacentral:lncRNA from 1 species